rnacentral:rRNA from 1 species
GACGAACGCUGGCGGCGUGCUUAACACAUGCAAGUCGAACGGAAAGGCCCUGCUUUUGUGGGGUGCUCGAGUGGCGAACGGGUGAGUAACACGUGAGUAACCUGCCCUUGACUUUGGGAUAACUUCAGGAAACUGGGGCUAAUACCUGAUAGGAGCUCCUGCUGCAUGGUGGGGGUUGGAAAGUUUCGGCGGUUGGGGCUGGACUCGCGGCUUAUCAGCUUGUUGGUGGGGUAGUGGCUUACCAAGGCUUUGACGGGUAGCCGGCCUGAGAGGGUGACCGGCGACAUUGGGACUGAGAUACGGACCAGACUCCUACGGGAGGCAGUAGUGGAGAAUAUUGCACAAUGGGCGGAAGCCUGAUGCAGCAACGCCGCGUGCGGGAUGACGGCCUUCGGGUUGUAAACCGCUUUCGCCUGUGACGAAGCGUGAGUGACGGUAAUGGGUAAAGAAGCACCGGCUAACUACGUG